CCGAAGUGGUGGAAUUGGCAGACGCGCCGGACUCAAAAUCCGGUGGCCGCGAGGCCGUGCGGGUUCGACCCCCGCCUUCGGCACCAG
rnacentral:tRNA from 1 species